AGCAGUCGCCGCGGUAAUACGUAGGUGGCAAGCGUUGUCCGGAAUUAUUGGGCGUAAAGGGCUCGCAGGCGGUUUCUUAAGUCUGAUGUGAAAGCCCCCGGCUCAACCGGGGAGGGUCAUUGGAAACUGGGAAACUUGGGUGCAGAAGAGGAGAGUGGAAUUCCACGUGUAGCGGUGGAAUGCGUAGAGAUGUGGAGGAACACCAGUGGCGAAGGCGACUCUCUGGUCUGUAACUGACGCUGAGGAGCGAAAGCGUGGGGAGCGAACAGGAUUAGAUACCCCCGUAGUCCCUGUCUCUUAUAA
rnacentral:rRNA from 1 species